AGUGAACGCUGGCGGUAGGCCUAACACAUGCAAGUCGAACGGCAGCACAGUAAGAGCUUGCUCUUACGGGUGGCGAGUGGCGGACGGGUGAGGAAUACAUCGGAAUCUACUUUUUCGUGGGGGAUAACGUAGGGAAACUUACGCUAAUACCGCAUACGACCUACGGGUGAAAGCAGGGGAUCUUCGGACCUUGCGCGAUUGAAUGAGCCGAUGUCGGAUUAGCUAGUUGGCGGGGUAAAGGCCCACCAAGGCGACGAUCCGUAUCGGGUCUGAGAGGAUGAACAGCCACACUGGAAGUGAGACACGGUACAGACUCCUACGGGAGGAAGCAGUGGGGAAUAUUGGGCAAUGGGCGCAAGCCUGAUCCAGCCAUACCGCGUGGGUGAAGAAGGCCUUCGGGUUGGAAAGCCCUUUUGUUGGGAAAGAAAAGCAGCAGGUUAAUACCCCGCUGUUCUGACGGUACCCAAAGAAGAAGCACCGGCUAACUUCGUG
rnacentral:rRNA from 1 species